UACGUAGGGUGCAAGCGUUGUCCGGAAUUAUUGGGCGUAAAGAGCUCGUAGGCGGUCUGUCGCGUCGGACGUGAAAAUCCAGGGCUCAACCCUGGACCUGCGUUCGAUACGGGCAGACUAGAGUUCGGUAGGGGAGACUGGAAUUCCUGGUGUAGCGGUGAAAUGCGCAGAUAUCAGGAGGAACACCGGUGGCGAAGGCGGUUCUCUGGGCAUGUCCUGACGCUGAGGAGCGAAAGUGUGGGGAGCAAACAGG
rnacentral:rRNA from 1 species